ACGCCCGUGUGAAAGAGGCCUAAGAGACAGCACUGGAGACUGCCGUGGGAGGUUUGUUAGAACCUCCUCCUCCCUAUUCAACUUUGUGGGAACUCAGGCACAAGCACAUUUACAUGAAACACAAUUACAGUGUCUAGCAGUGUGUUUCAGGAUACUGC